UACGAAGGUCCCAAGCGUUAUCCGGAUUUAUUGGGUUUAAAGGGUGCGUAGGCGGGCUAUUAAGUCAGUGGUGAAAGCCCCAAGCUUAACUUGGGAACUGCCAUUGAUACUGAUGGUCUUGAGUACAUUUGAGGUGGGCGGAAUGUGUCAUGUAGCGGUGAAAUGCUUAGAUAUGACACAGAACACCGAUUGCGAAGGCAGCUCACUAAACUGUAACUGACGUUGAGGCACGAAAGCGUGGGGAGCAAACAGG
rnacentral:rRNA from 1 species